rnacentral:rRNA from 1 species
GACGAACGCUGGCGGCGUGCCUAAUACAUGCAAGUAGAACGCUGAAGAGAGGAGCUUGCUCUUCUUGGAUGAGUUGCGAACGGGUGAGUAACGCGUAGGUAACCUGCCUUGUAGCGGGGGAUAACUAUUGGAAACGAUAGCUAAUACCGCAUAACAAUGGUUGACACAUGUCAUUUAUUUGAAAGGGGCAAUUGCUCCACUACAAGAUGGACCUGCGUUGUAUUAGCUAGUAGGUGAGGUAAUGGCUCACCUAGGCGACGAUACAUAGCCGACCUGAGAGGGUGAUCGGCCACACUGGGACUGAGACACGGCCCAGACUCCUACGGGAGGCAGCAGUAGGGAAUCUUCGGCAAUGGGGGCAACCCUGACCGAGCAACGCCGCGUGAGUGAAGAAGGUUUUCGGAUCGUAAAGCUCUGUUGUAAGUCAAGAACGGGUGUGAGAGUGGAAAGUUCACACUGUGACGGUAGCUUACCAGAAAGGGACGGCUAACUACGUG